UACGGAGGGGGCUAGCGUUGUUCGGAAUUACUGGGCGUAAAGCGCGCGUAGGCGGAUCUGCAAGUCGGGGGUGAAAUCCCGAGGCUCAACCUCGGAACUGCCUUCGAUACUGCGGAUCUCGAGUCCGGGAGAGGUGAGUGGAAUUCCUAGUGUAGAGGUGAAAUUCGUAGAUAUUAGGAAGAACACCAGUGGCGAAGGCGGCUCACUGGCCCGGUACUGACGCUGAGGCGCGAAAGCGUGGGGAGCAAACAGG
rnacentral:rRNA from 1 species